UACGUAGGGUGCAAGCGUUAAUCGGAAUUACUGGGCGUAAAGCGUGCGCAGGCGGUUAUGUAAGACAGAUGUGAAAUGCCCGGGCUUAACCUGGGAACUGCAUUUGUGACUGCAUGGCUAGAGUGCGGCAGAGGGGAUGGAAUUCCGCGUGUAGCAGUGAAAUGCGUAGAUAUGCGGAGGAACACCGAUGGCGAAGGCAAUCCCCUGGGCCUGCACUGACGCUCAUGCACGAAAGCGUGGGGAGCAAACAGG
rnacentral:rRNA from 1 species